CUAGUUGUCGGGUCUUAAUUGACUUGGUAACGCAGCUAACGCGUGAAGUAGACCGCCUGGGGAGUACGGUCGCAAGAUUAAAACUCAAAGGAAUUGACGGGGACCCGCACAAGCGGUGGAUGAUGUGGAUUAAUUCGAUGCAACGCGAAAAACCUUACCUACCCUUGACAUGGAUGGAAUCCCGAAGAGAUUUGGGAGUGCUCGAAAGAGAACCAUCACACAGGUGCUGCAUGGCUGUCGUCAGCUCGUGUCGUGAGAUGUUGGGUUAAGUCCCGCAACGAGCGCAACCCUUGUCAUUAGUUGCUACGAAAGGGCACUCUAAUGAGACUGCCGGUGACAAACCGGAGGAAGGUGGGGAUGACGUCAAGUCCUCAUGGCCCUUAUGGGUAGGGCUUCACACGUCAUACAAUGGUACAUACAGAGGGCCGCCAACCCGCGAGGGGGAGCUAAUCCCAGAAAGUGUAUCGUAGUCCGGAUUGGAGUCUGCAACUCGACUCCAUGAAGUUGGAAUCGCUAGUAAUCGCGGAUCAGCAUGUCGCGGUGAAUACGUUCCCGGGUCUUGUACACACCGCCCGUCACACCAUGGGAGCGGGUUUUACCAGAAGUGGGUAGCCUAACCGUAAGGAGGGCGCUCACCACGGUAGGAUUCGUGACUGGGGUGAAGUCGUA
rnacentral:rRNA from 1 species